GCGGCGGCAGCGCAGGAGGAGGCGGAGGAUGCGGAGGUGGAGGAGGAAGCCGGGGUGGACGAGGCGGAGGAGAGAGAGGCUGGCCGCGGGCGCAGGCUGUCUGGCGGAGGCUCGGCGCGCUCCGGAGGCGGCGGCGGCGGCGGCGGCGGCGGCGGCUGAAGUGGCUGCGGCGCGCUCAGGGGACCCGCGGCGCCGCUGCCCUUGAGCGGGCCGACGCCGCCGUGAGGGAAGAGUUGCUGCCAGUGCUGCAGUUGUCUGAGCCUGAGAAACGUGCUGUUUAGAAUUCAUCCGGGUCUCAUUCAGGAUGCUUCGAUGUUGGCUGGAACAGAGUUGAACGAAAAUGUUUUGACUGGCGUCGUUAUGACAAGGUCAUCCAUCAUUGUUGGAUAGACUGAUAGCACCCAAGUUUAAGGCAGACGCCACGAGGGAAAACCCACGGCGCUGUGGUCCCGGAGGCUAACCAGGCAGUCUCCGCAGACUUCCAGCAACUCCAUCGGGAGGAGAGGAUGAAGGUCCAGGCCCGUUUCAAUUAAUCUGCUCGCAGAACUGCCGAAGAGUGGUCUGUCGGGCCACGGGAGAAGAAACAAAUGCUCUUUCUCACACUCUCCUGGCUCACUGCUGAGAAACCAGGACACUCCUCUGUUCUCUGGGAGAGACAGUGAGCUCCAGGGAUGGAAGUCCGGACUCGGGCGGCGGUCCUGUCAUCUGCCUUCUUGUUUCUGCCCAAACCCAGCUACUUCCAAGCGCGUGGUCCCCAGAACUGGAAGCCCCAAAGAACCUCUACCAGUCCCAACCCCGCCUCCCCCCUACCCCUUCACCCCCUGCCACCAUUAGAAAGUCUCAGGAUUUUGAAAUGCUAUUUGGAGCAGCUGCUUCCGUGGCCCCAUGCCGCCCACACUCUGGGAAGCGGAGGAGGGAGGGUACCUCUCGUAAUAAGAUUAGCUGACCUGUUAAUGAGAGCUUUGGACGUGCCGAGCGCGGGUAGGCGCUUUACGUUCAUUUAAUCCACCUAGCAACCAUGCGGAGAAGGCAUUAUCAUUAACCCCCAUAUUGUAGAUGGGGACCGCUGAGGUUCGGAAAGUUUUUAGAUGGGUUGCCUAAGGUCACGCCAUUAAUGAGUAAUGGAGGCGGAUUCAAACACCGUUCGGUGAGGUGCCAAGUGCAUCUACUGCCCACCCUAGUCAAACCUGUAGCCACUCGGUCCAGACUGACGCCAGAGGGGGUACCAUGGGAGAGAUUUGGCUCUCCUCGCUGCGGGGGCCAGGGAAGAAGCUGAGAAGGUAGCGAAGUCCCCCUCGCCCACUACAUCUACAGGUGCCGUACCUGGGUUAUCCGAUUCAAGCUUCCGCCCCACCCACCCUGGGCACAAGUCGAUCCCGAGAACCCUAAGGCUCAGAGGGUACAGGGACCUCCCGUGAAGGGGGCAGGAGAAAGUUUGAGGGAGAGCCCCGAAGGCCCAGGAGCGAACGAAGAAGUCUGGAAGGGAAUAGACCGGGAGUCUGGACCUCCCGCGCUUCUCCCCAGCAGGCCCACGGCGCCGGGCGGGGCCCCUGCCUCCACAGCGGCUUCCCUGAUGCCCGCGGAGUUCGGCUGAGGCUGGGUCGGCGUCGUCCUCCCCAGGUGUGCACAAGGGCGCGCAGAGGCGUAGGCGGGACCCCCGACGCUACUCGCGCUCUGAGGGGCGCUCCCUCGUCACACAGUUGACCCUGGGCCCGCUUGUCACGGACACCCUGGCGCAUAUCAGUAGUUUUUAGGAUGUGAGCCCACCGACGGCAAGGACAUGCACCCCCUCAAAUCCGCUUCCCCCACCCCCUUCAAUACUGAGAAGACCGCAGAAACAAAUCACUUCGCCCACUUAGAAAGCGAUCAAACCUUUAUAAAAAUCCAUGGCUCCCAAAUCGAUGGGUGAAUAUUUGCUGGGAAUUUGUUCUAGAGGAAUAAAUAAGGAGCCUGAGUGUAUUAAAUGCAAA